ACGCAGCUAGCACAUGUCGUUCAGACAGGUUAUGGAGACAUGGAGAUGUUGAACCGUUUACGAACCCAUUUGCGAGGUCACGUAGACUGGCCCGAUGUUGGAGGUGUCACUCCUCUUCGUGGACCUAUGUGCUGCCAUCCAGGGGACCUAGGCCACAUCCGUGUCCUUAUGGUUCCCAGGGAUCUGAGAAUAGAGUGUUUCUUGACCCUCAGGUUCAGCUCCCAAGUCAUGGGGGACACCUAUAUGAGAUGUUCUAUGCGUAUUCUUGAGUUCAUGAGUGGUUGUAGUACUAUUGUAGUAGUUGUAUUUGCCACAGUCGUGCAUGCCUUGUGGGAUAUGACUGAGGUGUGAGCUGAGUUCUGGAGUAUAGAUAAAUAAUGUAAAGGAAUCUUGGAAUGCCUCUGAUGAGUUGUAUCAUAUUUUCAGUAGUUUGCUUUUCCGCUUCGGCUUGUACUAAACUAUAUUAUGGUAUGUAUGAACCAUGGUGUAUAUAUGGC
rnacentral:lncRNA from 1 species